rnacentral:lncRNA from 1 species
AGCAGCCGCGCCAGCCUCAUGCCGAGUCCCGCUAGAGAAGCCACAGCCAGUACGCCAGGUUUCCCCGCGCCUCUGCCGAGUGGGUUGAAGGCAAAUACUUGAAGUUGCAAUCGAAGGUCAAGAAAAUGGAAUCAAGAGGUCACAAUCCUUCUCUGAUGAUGGCUUAGAAAGCUGGAAGACACUCAACAUUGAAUCCUGGGGCUCUGUGCCAUGCUUGCUAGGAGAAACAGCCACCAUGAGUCCAUCUUUCAGAUCUCAAGUGAACAGUCAUUCUCCAGCUGGGAUUGAGAACAAGGGGAAGCUGGCCAUAGAGCCAGGUGACCAAAGAUGGAAGACAAAGGGUGGGCUGUGAUUCCCAGAGCUCCAAGCCUUGUUCUGUCUUGUCACACCAACUGUUACUGAUGAACAGCAUGUGAGAACUUUUGGCUGAUGAAUACAAGAUACGCUCAUUCAUUCUCUUCAUUGCUAUGAAAUGAGUUUUUCCACAACCUCCUGCAGAACCUCAACACAUCACUAGGUGGCAACAUCCCUACACCAUAUCGGUUUAGAAACCACGGUUAGGAGGAGCAGCAAAACACGCGGCAUCCCAGUAUGAUUCAGAAGUAAAGUAAGUAAAUAUUUUCAGGGCAAAUAAAAAACAGUCAAGUCUGAUGCAAUUAAAAGAAGUCCUCUCUACAAGAAUAAAUGUUUGUCCCCACUCUCCUCCCUCAUGGAAACAGUACAGGCAAGCUGCCGGAGUGAACGCUGAGUGAGGGAAAGGA